rnacentral:tRNA from 1 species
UGGGCUGUAGCCAAGUGGUAAGGCACCAGGUUUUGAUCCUGGCACGCGAUGGUUCGAAUCCCUCCAGCCCAGCCA